AAGAAGUCAGGCCGGAUUAAGCCAUAGUACGGUAAAAGCUAUGCUGCCUGUGAGCCCCGUCUAAGGACGUAAAAUGAAGUCAGGCCGAAAGCCACGGCUUGAGCAAACCGUGCUGCCUGUAGCUCCAUCGUGGGGAUGUAAAAACCUGGGAGGCUGCAACCCAUGGAAGCUGUACGCAUGGGGUAGCAGACU
rnacentral:lncRNA from 1 species